GGGAAGCGGCGCAGGAUGCCCAUGGGAGAGCGGUGCUUCUGGAAGACGUGGCAACCCAGGGGUAUGAAGCACAGCAUCCAGGGAUGCAACCCGGGCACAGAAUCAUUGAACCAUUGAGGUCAGAGAAAACCUCUGAGAGCAUCGAGUCCAACCAUCAAACCAUCCCCAACGCACUCAGUUAUAGCAUAACAGAAUCGUUCAGGUUGGAGAAGGUCUCUGAGACCAUUGGGUCCAACCAUCAAACCAACCCUAACACAUCCAUUUAUAGCACAACAGAAUCGUUCAGGUUGGAGAAGGUCUAUGAGACCAUUGGGUCCAACCAUCAAACCAACCCCAACGCACCCAUUUAUGGCAUCAUAUUAUCAUUCAGGUUGGAGAAGACCUCUGAGAUCACUGAGUCCAACCAAACCAUCUCCAACGCACCCAUUUAAAGCAUGCCAGAAUCAUUAAGGUUGGAAAAGACCUCUAAGGUCAACAAGCCCAAUUGCUA